rnacentral:rRNA from 1 species
UACGUAGGGGGCUAGCGUUGUCCGGAUUUAUUGGGCGUAAAGAGCGUGUAGGCGGCCAUGUAGGUCCGGUGUGAAAACUGGAGGCUUAACCUCCAGACGUCGAUGGAAACCGUAUGGCUAGAGUCCGGAAGAGGAGAGUGGAAUUCCUGGUGUAGCGGUGAAAUGCGCAGAGAUCAGGAGGAACACCCAUGGCGAAGGCAGCACGCUGGUCCGACCCUGACGCUGAGACGCGAAAGCGUGGGGAGCGAACGGG